UCACUGUCCUGUCUCCCCCCUCCGAGGGAGGAGGACUGCCUGCUGGCAAUGUAGCUGCAGAGAGAAGGAAAGCGUCAGGCUGGGAAACAACUGGCUGGUCAGGUUGACUCUUCACAGAGGGAAGGUGAGAUUCCAAAGGUAAUUCAGCAAACAAGCUUCAAAUGGACUCUCUCACAAUAUCAAUGGAAUUCCCAGACUCUGACAGAGAUGUCUUCACUGCUGCAGAAUCCAUGGCUGUUCUUUGGAAUCUAUUGUAGAGGACAUUGGUGUGAGACCUUAUUCUAUGGAACAGAGAUAGCAAGUAGAGGAAGAGACCACAGGGCAGAAUGAAGGAGGCCGGAGUGCCUGGAAGCACGAUAAGCAACCCCAGGAUAGGGAGAAGGAGACCAGAAGAAGAGAAGAGAGCCCACAGUAGGGGUAAAGGAGGCCAUUGGGCCUCAAGGGUGAGCAACUAUGAAAUAUUUCCUCUUAUUUACCCAUUUUAAUCCCACAUAUCUCCUGUGACUGCCUGAUGGGGUAGGUCAGAAGCUGAAAGGUGAAGUUGCAUAAUAAAGGUGAAAGAGAAGGCUCCCUAUUGGGUAUCUCUGCAGACAGGGAACGAAGCCAAAUGUACCAUACUGACAUGUCAAACUGGUUAUUUAUAUAUGGCAUUGACCUGGUCUAGAUUGCUGUUGGGAAAAUACAUCUUUUUAUCACU